UUCCUUUUUUUCCCUCUCCCCACGAUGGAAAGUAUUCCAUCCGUCCAUCUCUUUCCCCCAUGGAAAACCAAAUAUCUUGCCCACGGUCCCUUCCUCUCCAAUCUUUCUCUCUCAAAUCUCUCUACCCUAGAAACCAAACUAAUACAGAGCAAGCGCGGCGAUGGAUCUAAGAAACAUAUGGGGCCAUGGAUCUAGCGUUCCUGAUCUAGAUCAGGUUGUCCUCGAAUUCACCCUAAUCACGAUUUGGAUCAAAUCCUCAAUCUUUUGAAGUACAAUUUCUGGAUCAGGUUGUCCUCGAAUUCAUCCUAAUCACGAUUUGGAUCAAACCCAAUCUUUUGAAGUACAAUUUCUGUAUGCCUUAUGGAGAUCGGACCGGAGCACAACUAUGCCCAUCAGGUGUACUUAUAAUUAAUAUAUCUCUUGACUAUAUGCGACUACCUCGGGAUUCACAAGUCGUCUAACACCCUAGCCUGGUUUCCCGGCCACAUCUCUCAUGGGAGUAUAGGCAGCCCUUGCACAAGAGAUGCCGGAGAACCGGGAGUAACCCCAUCGCAUGUAGCUCAGUAUGCGUGCCAUCCAAGAAGCUGCUUCGAUCGCAGACUACAUGCUCAGGUCCAUGGCAUAGCAUAUACAUCAUGUACGUCAUGGAUGCAUGCAUAAAAGUGAGCUAGGACGUCAGACAAGUUAGUAUUCAUUGGUGCAAUCAUAUGCCGUGAUAAACUGGUCAAUGCAAGUUAGCAAACCGUCUGAGGAAAAAUAGACAACUGAUGGGAUCUCAAAGAUUGAAGAUACUGUGAUUCAGAUUGAGCGAGUACAUCAAAAGGAAUUAAAUGAGUACAAAUACCGUGAUUCCUAAUAUUUACAACUCUUGGAAUAUACAGGAUAGAAAAUUUUAAUUUUAGACUACGGGGUGAGAAGGUCAACAAUAUUAAUGUGGAUUCUUUCUGUCGUGUUGUCAUAGUAACAUCAACAACUGUCUGAUAUUUGAUUUUUGUGUAUUUCAUAUUAAAAGGAUGUAAGUAUUGUUAUAUGCGUAUAUUUAUUUAUAGGAAAGUUAAUAUCAGGUGCAUACAGAGUAGUCGAUGUUAUCUAUAGGUGCAUACAGAGUAGUCGUUGUCAUCUGUAGGUGCAAACAGAGUUUAUGUGGAUUUGAAUAUCAUCAGCUAAUCGUGUCCCUUUACUUCUACUAUGAAGAUGGGGUGAAACAUAAAUUGAUUUGCAAACAGGGGAAAGAGAGACCAAAGUAAAGAUUUCACAGCUCCUAUGGAGAUGAGGUGCCAAUUUGCUGUAUGAAAAAGCAUAAUCUGGAGGAAUACCAAUUGUAGCACUAAAUUAUUAUAUGCACUGAACACCGAGCAGAACUCUAUUGAAGAAUGAAGAUGCAUGCUCUUAGCUUAUUUCCUUGGAAUAAUGAUGUACGAUGCUUCCAUUUGAUUUUGACUUGGUGUAAACAUAUAGAUACAAAUCAAUACGUUAAUAGCAAAUCCAUAUGCCAUGGAAUAGAAUUUAUGUUUGUAGAUGCUCUAUGUUAGGAGCUCCUUCUAAUUAAAAAGUUGUUGAGUAAAGCCAACAGAUGAGUAACUUCUAGAUUAUAAUUUUUUUAUUCCAGGUUAAAUCUAACAAGAGACAUCACCAACCAAAAACCUAACAACUCAUCAACUUAGUUAUAAUGCUAUCCUAACUGUUAAGAGACAUAAUAACUAAAGAAGAUACAAAUUCUCAUUGGGAUGAGCUCUACAAACAGCUGGUACAUGACAAUGUAUGUGUGCUGGAAUGAGAAACUCACACACUGCGAAAGGUACGGCCUCUGAUGCUAUGGACUCUGAUGUUAUAGAAGCUAUGAUUUGUGAUGCUAAUCUUGCAUGUUCAGACCUGCUAUGAUCGAAUUUGCUCAAAUUAUUCGGUGGUGUAUUAAAUAACAUGCCCUUUUGUAGUUUGUAUUUGCUGACAUAUAUAAAAUUUCAUUUGGGCCAUUCGUUACAGUACUUCAAUUAUGUGUUCUUGAGCGACGAUUAAUACAUUAAUACCGAGGGAGUCCUCUAUCCAGUGAUUUUGUCGUACGUAAUAUUAUCUUACACAAGUUACUAUCAAUGGUAUAAUUUGAUCAGUGUUGUAUUCAGUUAGAAAGGAAUUUCUUUUCAGUGACUACCCUUCCAAAUUUUGUACCAAUAAUAGUUGUCUUUUGUAAAGAUAUUUCUCUAAAUAUUUUACUUCAUGAUCAGUGGUCUAGCUGGCACAAUUCUCUAAUAUAUUAUAUAAAUCAUUUUAACUUUUCAAAGUGACCGGAUUCUAUAUAGAUUGUUGGUUAUUGUGUGCUAUAGUUGUCUUAGUAGUGCUCGCACUCAUUAAUGGAUGAUUUUUUUACAGACUUCUCCUUCAAUACUUUUUUAAUAUGGUGAUGAAAUUCCGAAGAACAAUUCUUAUGCCCAUGGUAUGACCUGGGCACUGAGUAAUGAGUAAUGAGUAAUGCAAGCUCGGGUCUUGGUAGUGGGAUAAAUGGAAAAUCAUAUCGAUUAAUAACUAAAUACAAAACUAAAUUUGCAGGUUGGCCGGCGAGCGCUGGCACCAACCAGAGGAUGCAUUGGCGCACAGAGAAGUGCCAGUUCAUGCCGAUGAGCGAUGAUUGUCAAUGGAGAUUACAUGUGGCUGCGGAAGCAUAAAAAGCAUGGUGAUAAGAAAGGAUUGAUCAGGUUUGUAUUGUCUGACGCAUUUGUGCAAGAACCAAGUAAUUGCUACAGUACCAGUUAGGUUGCUCUGGGAGGACUUCUUUCUGCCAUAAGGAUUACAGCACCUUGAUUGAUACAUGGAGGACGCACCAAACAAGGAUUAUUUACUAUUGGAUCUACCGGCCAGAAAAACAGAGCACACGCCUGUGAUUGCCCAAGUCCAGAAGGGACAAGGCCACUAUGUAAUAUAUAUCCCAGUUAGCUCCAACACUUAAUUUCCCGUGCCUCCUGAUGUUAUUUACUAACUAGACUUAGGAAUGUGAGAAACGUCAUUUUGUAAUAUGCCUUGCUGGAGCAAGAUUGAAUUGCUGGACCAAGGUCUACAUCUAUAUUCCCUUAUGUUUUUCACUUA